GAGGAAACCCCCAGCUUUCCCCCCUCCCUGAUCACCCUGCUCCUCGCUCAUCUCUGUUCCGCGUCCCGAGUUUGCGCACCCGCUCCGAGGGGACGUGACAUCCCUUAUUUUGGCCCGAAGGGGUCCCGGAGGACCGCGAGCGUUACCGGGGAUGCCGUUCCCCACGGGUGUGGGAGCAGCCCCGCUGCUGGCGCGGAGCCCCCCGGGAUGCUCUGUCUUCUCGGGCAGAGAAGGGCCCGGCUAUUUUGCCGUGUCACUCUCUGGCACGGCGUGCUGCAGAGGCUGGAACACGUCGGGGGGCUCGGGCACGCUCACGAGAGCGAGUGAUGGGAGACCCUCGCGGAGCCUAGUCCCCAGAGGAUUAUCCGAUUUUGGAAGGUGAAGUUCCUGAAGGCACGGAAUUUCAGACGUGGGCUACGGGGUCGGAGGGACGGUCGGUGCGGCCGUGCGCCCCGUCCCUCAGCCCGGGGAACCGCACCCGCCCCGCCGCAGGCGAGGGCUGUCGGGAGGAGUGUGUAUUUAAUGCAGGUUUAAUGUAUGUAUGGCUGCAUACGGUUGAGGCUAGACACACCUGAACCGUGACACCAUGAUUAUUAUCACCUUUGCCCUCAAGGCUCCUGGGAGUGCCGCACUCCCUUGCAAGAACAUUGUGCCAGGGACCAGCCCAGCCUCGGGUCCUCCGCGGGGGCGGCGGGGGCUGCGUGGAACCCCCCGCCCGGGGACACCCUCCGCGCCGCCGUCCGUCGAAGCCUGCCCGGAGACUCAAUUUUUCCACUGCCCUCCCGCGUCCUCCCCGUUUGGGAAGCCUAGGGGAGGGAGGGAGGGGGCGGCGGGCCGGGCCCCUGCCUCCGGGCGCGCUGCCGCCGCGGCUCCCGUCUCAUGCCGCAGGAAUGCGCGGAGGUUCGACGGCUGCGGCUCCCGCCGCUGCGGGCACCACCGGAGCCAUCGCCGGAGGAGCUGUCCCGUUACGGACCCCGGCGCCCUGCGGCCACCCCGGAAGGUCUGUGUGUGUGUGUGUGCCCGCGCAGGAGCGGGGUUCCUGCCCGCCGCGUCCCGCGUCCCUCUCUGUCCGCUCGCACCGCGCACGCAGCCCCUGGAGCUGCCGCGGGAUGAGGACGGAGCGUGUGCGCGUUGGGCAUGCCGGAGCCGGCUGCAGCUGCGGCCGGGCGGGCCGAGAGGCUCAGGGCAGAGCGCCCCGGGGGCUGCUGGCUGCCAGCCCGGGAAAGGCACGGGGAAGCCCGGCGGGAUGCGGCCCCCAGCGCUGCCCGCGGACGGGUGCCUGGGCAGAAAGGCGGGCAGGGGCGGAGGUGUCCCGGAGACGGAGGCUCAGGGUGGCCGGAGGCUCCAGGCGGAGCCUGCUGUCAGCGCCCAGGGCGCCUGCAGGCAUGCUACCGCUGCGGCUUUGGCAGGAGCUCUCGCUUCCCUCCCUUGUGUGUGCAGCUGCCGGUGAUGCUUUGUCCUGCUUCCAGUUUUUUAUAUCUUUGAUAGGCUUUUCCUGCGCUUUUUUUUCUUUUUCUGUUUACGUUAGUUUUUUUCUUCUUGAAAGUGUUAAAUGUCAUGCAUUGUGUGGUUUAGAAAUGCUUUGGCUAAGCUUUUGUAGGUUGAAUUAGCCUCAGAUAGGAUUGGCAGUGUGAAAGCCCGGGUUUGACUUUUUCUAAGUGGUCUCCAAAGAUCAAUGAGAAAACCUUUAGUACUGACACAAAGUCUGCUGCGUCCAUGCUGAGCCAGGAGGGGUCCUCUGUCACCUCCAGGGUUUCUUUCACACACCUAAAUUUGUGAGAAGGAAACAGUGUUUUUAGGUUAGCAAAUUAAUGCUUUGGCUGAGGUGGUGUAUUUCAUGAAAUAAAAACGUGUAUCAGGAAUGGAAGACCUGCA
ensembl:lncRNA